GUGGGGAAUAUUGGACAAUGGGCGAAAGCCUGAUCCAGCCAUGCCGCGUGUGUGAAGAAGGUCUUCGGAUUGUAAAGCACUUUAAGUUGGGAGGAAGGGCAGUAAGUUAAUACCUUGCUGUUUUGACGUUACCGACAGAAUAAGCACCGGCUAACUUCGUGCCAGCAGCCGCGGUAAUACGAAGGGUGCAAGCGUUAAUCGGAAUUACUGGGCGUAAAGCGCGCGUAGGUGGUUCAGCAAGUUGGAGGUGAAAUCCCCGGGCUCAACCUGGGAACUGCCUCCAAAACUACUGAGCUAGAGUACGGUAGAGGGUAGUGGAAUUUCAUGUGUAGCGGUGAGAUGCGUAGAUAUAGGAAGGAACACCAGUGGCGAAGGCGACUACCUGGACUGAUACUGACACUGAGGUGCGAAAGCGUGGGGAGCAAACAGGAUUAGAAACCCGAGUAGUCC
rnacentral:rRNA from 1 species